rnacentral:rRNA from 1 species
GAUGAACGCUGGCGGCGUGCCUAACACAUGCAAGUCGAACGGACAGACGAUGAGCUUGCUGCGCUGUCGUUUGCCGAGGACGGGUGAGUAACACGUGUAUCCUCUCCCUGUCUGACUGGGAAAAUUUGGGAACUGCGGCUAUAAUACCGGAGAAUCUCUUGAACCGCAUGGUUCAAUGGAAAAAGUCGGCUGUUGUGGAUCGUCUCGCUGGUUAUCAGCUUCUUUGGGUGGUAGUGGAUUACCAAGGCUAUGACGGGUAGGCUGCCUGAGAGGGUGACCGGCCACCUUGGGACUGAGAGACGGCCCAGACUGGUACGGGAGGCAGCAGUGGGAAAUCUUGCAGAAUGGGCGGAAGCCUGAUGCAGCAACGCCGCGUGCGGGAAGACGGCCUUCGGGUUGUGAACAGAUUUCGCAUGAACUGAGGAGUGAGUGACGGUACCGGGUCAGAAAGCACCGGCUAACUACGUG